AGAGCAUAAGUGAAAUAAGUAAACCGAACGUGUCAUGAGAAACUAAUUAGGUCCAAUUUUUAUAUAAUGGUACAAACUAAUUGCUCAUAUUUAUUUUCAUAAUUAUUUUUUCUACUACUCUGACACAGCUACUCAAUAUAUUUUAAACAUAAACCAGAUCAUCUCUAGAAAAUUGCCAAAAUCCGGUUUGAUUCAACAGACAAAAAUAUGUAAUUUAAUCACUAAGAUUGUGAUAAAGGAUGAAUUUUUAAAUAGUGAAGGAUAAUACACAUUCAUCCUUUUCUUCGUCAUGAUAAGUUCUUUCAUAAUAAAUCGACAAAUUAAAAAACAGAAUGCGAUUCCACGAACAAGCAAAAAAAAGUAAACAUUUUCAAUCAUCUUCAUAAGCUUCUGAUCCAUCAGUAAAUUCAGCAUCCAAAUCGGAAUCACUGAGGACCGAUUUUACAGUUGUGUGAUGCCUCUUGUUUUUACGUACCACUUUAGGAGGAGAGGAAGUUUUUAAUUUCUGUGAAUUAACGUUCAUUUUUUCUCCGAGCUUUCUACUUUCACGUUCAUCACUUUCUGAAACAUGGCCUUCAUUAAUUGCAUCAACAACUUUAUCAAUCCAUUCUUGUGAAAGAGCGGUAAUUCCAUCUAAACUGUUGACAAUGUCAUCUUCUCCUAAUCUGUUUUUUAUGUUUUUUAACAUUCUAGGAGUAACACAUCCCCAGUGUUUCCAUGCCCAACUCUGAAAUCUACCAGAAUCCACAAAAGUCCCGAAUCGUACAGUUCCAGCCAGUAUUUUUGACCUAAAUUUUUGUCAGUAGAAAAGAAAUAUCUCUACAAUAUUAGACAUGUAAAUAGCGUUCUGUGAUGGUUUCCAAUCGCCUGCCACGAAAUCGCUAAAAACAAAUGAAGCAAUUUUAUCGAAAGUACCAUCAGCUGUACUGAAUUUGCGCUCAUAUCUCAAUUGUUUUCAGUUUAUGCUAAAACCUUACCGACCACAUAAAGAGCCUUUGCAUUUUGCACGGUUGUUGGGUGCAAUUUCUAUGCGAUAUCCACUUCCACCCUGUUCCAUUAAUGUGCAAUGUUCGUACUGUAAUUUCUUCAAUACUUCUUAAUGUUUCGAAUUGAACUGAAGAUAGAAUAAAAUUACAAAACUUAAGUUUAUUUUAUGAUCAAUCUUGAUAAAUGCAGCUCCUGAUUCUCAAGUUUGUUUAAAAAACAAUAUGGGGAUUCCAACAGAUAGAAACUCGUGAUGAUAUUUCUCAGUAGAAAGCUAAUGUCCAAA